CCCAACCUGACUGCUGUGUUCUGCCCUGAGUCUGCAGAGGCUGACCCUGGCCAGGAAAGUGGUUGGAAAAGCAUUUUUGCAGAGAGGCAGCCUGAAGGUGGUGGCUCUAUGUAAGUGUGCACCCUUGGUUGGAAAGGCUGAAGGUCAGGAAUGGUAUUAGGAGAAAGUUCCCCCUUUCUCCUUUGUCCCUCCUUCCUGCCCCUGGACACAGGCUUGAGGAUCUGCAUCUGGCUGGCUCACCCUUCCUGCACAACUUUUCUAUUCAAGUUUUUCAGGGCAGGGCUUUAAGAAACACUUCAGGUUAAUUAUAGCCAGGGGUCAUUUUCUAUACAAGCGGGACAAACUUGAUGUGACUACAGGGCUGUCUCCAGGGCUGAUUCAUUCGACCUAGAAAACUGCCCCUAGGGAAACAGCCUCAGAAUCUUGCCUGCAGCUCUGGAAGUGGUAAUGGGCCCACCUGUCUCCCUGCCCAUCAUCUCACAUCUGGGGGAAUGUCUUGGCUAGCAGCAUGGCCCUGAGUGAGGGGUUUAGGUAAACAAGGUGUGACUGGGAUUGGAAGAGUCACAAACCUGUUUGUUAGAGCAAUGCUGAAGAGUUUCAGGAAAAGAAUUUCAUCAAGGCUGGCACAUCUGUCCUCAGACACUUGAAGGAUUCCCUGGAGGAAGGAGGACUGAACUUGCCCUACAAGAUCCUGCGGGGCAAAGAACUGUAAGCAGAGACAAAAUGAAAGCCCUCUAGGCCCACAAUUGAUUCUAACGGCUGUGAGGGAAUGAGCUUCAACUACUGUUGAUGGGAGGGACUGUGUGCCAGGCACUGUGCUAGGGACUCUCAUGCAUGAUCUCAUUCAUCUUCUGCAUAACCCAAUGAGGUAUGAUCUACUAUCAAGUGUCUACAUUUGUAUUGGAUUGGUAUGUGUGCCCAACAAAGAAAGUGUCAUUUUUCCUUGGGAAUGAAAUCACAUCAUUUGUGAAGACUUAGUAGAGGCUAAAUGAGUACAAGCAGCAUUUACCUUAUUAAACAGAUAUUUUCAACAUUUAAAACAGUCUGACCAUCAAUGAUGAUGUUCAAAAACAUCUCAAGAUGUUUUAGAGCUAAAGCAAAUGAGAAAAUAUAGUAAAGGGCUGAUUCCUGUGGAUAUUCUGCAAAGGAAAGUAACAUGGUGGAGUGGAAGUGGGAUAAGGUUUGAAGCCAAAAGACCUGGUGGGCUUAAGGUCUCCAUUUAUUGGUUGUGUGACCUUGGAUAAGCCACUUCACCUCCUGGUGAGACUUGGGCAAAAUGGAGAUCAUAUUAAUCACCUCACAGUUUGUUACGCAUUGAGUAAAUGCACAUGUAAGCAUUAUUGACUGUAAAUGAUUAUGCAUAUUUUAAUUAUGGUAUAUCCAAGCCUGAUUUUUCAUCCAGUGCUUACAGUGCCCUGGGCAUAAUACUCAUUCAAUAAACAUUUGUUUGAUGAUAGAGUAAUAAAUGAAUAUGUGAUGCAGAAGUUUUAAAAAUAUUUUUGCUGCUGUCUGACUCAUUUAUAGACAUUUAUAAAAUUGAGGAUUUGUAAGUUGUCCCUGGACAAUCAGAUCUCUUGAUUCAAAGGUGAAAGAUAAUCAUUCAGGUUUUCAAGUUUUUCCUGAUAUGAGACAUUAACUGGCAGGGCUGAUUAUGAGAAAUUGUCAUUAUCCUGCUCAAAUAUAAGAUCAUAGAUUUGGGAAACCUUAGAAAUAAUUACCUUCUUUUCAAAUAUGAGGAAACUGAAGCCCAGAGGCUCUAAGAAAUCAGGGACUUUAUAUAAUUUUUUCAUUUCUCUAGCUCUAGGGUAAUUGUAGAUAGAUAUACAACAAGUAUGUUUUUAAAAGUAUAUUUUUCAAGAAUUAUGCUAAGCACUGGGGAAAUAAACAUUAACAAGACAAAACCCUCCCCUUUGAGGAACUGAUAAUCUAGACAGACAUGAAAACCAGGAAGUGUGCUAUCAGUUAUAUUAAUGUUGUACAGAGUUCUAGUGGCAAGAGGGAACUGCCAAGGGAAAUCUGAGAGGAGGUGUUUACCCUGCGUAAACACCUUGCUGUUUAGCUUGGCAUCCCUAGAAGCAGACCCUGAGGACAGUGGGAAAAUGGAUUAUUAAGGAAGUGCUCCUGAGAGAAACCAGAAAGGGGGUGUAGGGAGCAAGGGAGGAUAAGGAGAAGACUCCAGUAAGGAUGAGAUUACUCAAGUCCCAUGGAAGACAGGUUAGCCUGAUCCUGCAGGGGAGCCCUGGAGGAGUUACUAAUGUGGAGAAAGAAGAUUAUCAUGUGUGGAACGAAGGACAAUAUGAACAUUAAAUAAUGCCCUGACUCAUUCCAAAAAGAAUCUGAGAUGACCAAUAAAGCCAUUUUUAAUUGUUUAUUAGUGAACAAUAGAUUAUGAGUGCUAAAGGGAUUCAGGAAGAAGAAAGAUCAGUGCAGAGUAGAGAAGUCUGAUGGAUGCAUUGAAGAAGCUAUGCUUGAGCUGAAAUGACAAGAGAGCUGUUUUUCGCUUUCAGAAUUAUUAUGUGGCAAUGGUAAUUGACAACAGAGAAGCUGAAGGGAGGAAGUCACUUUAUGGGAGCAGAGUCACUCUCAAGUAAUAGCUGGCCAUACAGAUUGCUCUGGACCAAGGGUGAAUGUGAAGAAGAAAAGACCGGCCAGCAACACAAUGGAAUAUCUAGAGUCAUAUUGAGGGAAAUACUUAGAUUGCUGAUUUCUUAGUGGAUUUCACAAGCAGAGCUGCUUGUGAGCAGAAUGGUGAAGUAGGGGCAUGUGUUUCUGGGGUCUUAUUCCAUGGCUUCCUUCCACCUACAAGAGUCAUCCUCACGGAGUACUUGCAUUUCAGUAGAAGAAAAAAAUCUUAUAGAUGGAAGGGAAGGAUGGGGUUCCUGCUUUAGGAAGAUUGGCAUGGUCAUAAGUCUGAGCAAGGAAGGGCCCAGGGCAGCUCAGAGCUCUGAGCAGGAAGCUCUAAUUAGUUACUGAAUAUGGUGCAAGCACAAAGAGAGCGUAGUGUUUUCCCUUUCCAUCUGUGGAAGUCUUGGCCAUGCUUACUUGGGCGUUCCUUCCAGGAAACAUUUAUUUUUCCUCUUUAAUGCCCUCCUCAUAUCUAUGCUCUCAGUAGAGGAUGCCACUGCUUCUGGCACCUGGAUAAUAGAAUGAAGCUGAUUGGGAUGGAAACAGAAAAGUCAUCUCUCAGAACAAUGAGCAGAGACUGAAACUCCCUUGUACCCAGUCCCUGUGCACUGCUGUUCAUAGCCAAAUGGGCAAGGCCUUGCCAAAUGUCAUGUUGAGGUGAGGCCCUAAGUGAUAGAAAAAUAAAAAAUGACUAUGGCCACUUGCAUGUUCAGAGAAUUCAGUUUAGAAAAUGCUAUGCUGGGAGGAUCUCUCUUAAUAUCUUGUUUGCAUCAGAAUGUUCAAGUUGCAAUAUAUGUUUUUGUUUUGUGUAUUUAUUUAUUUUCCUCUACUCUAUUCUGUUAAGUCUUUUAGGGCAAAGGUAGGGUAGUCUAUACUCCCUGCGUUAUCCAUAAUGCCUAGCACUGUGUCUUGUACAUAAAAGGUCAUAAUAAAUACCUGUUGGCUAGAUAGAUGAAUGGAUAGAGUGCCUCAUUUAGAAGCAUUAUACUUCUAUGGAAAAAAAUUUUUAAAUGUAUUUUUUUCUAUGAGAUAACACAGUUCCUGAAUAGGUCAUGGGCAGGUGCUAUUCAAGUUUGCGAAGGAAAGGUUUUCCUAGAGUUAGGGUAAUUUUUUCCUCAAAUAAGAAAAACCUACAGUAAAUAAUUACUCUCCAUAUUAUCUUUAGGUUUCUUGCCAGUAUUAACAUCUUUUUUAUUGUAAGUGAUGAUAUUGUCUGUGAGAACAUUACAGUAGGUUAGUAUCCUGGGUUAAGCUAAGUGUUGUUGAAAAUAAUCCUGGACAUCCAAACAGGAAGAGAGGAAGUCAAACUAUUCCUGUUUGCAAAUAACAUGAUUCUAUAUCUAGAAAACCCUGUAAUGUCAGCCCCAAGGCUCUGUGAGAUCAGAGAUAAAUAACCUCAGCAAAGUCAACAUACAAACAUCAGUAGCAUUCCUUAUACAAACAACAUCCAAGCUGAUGGCCAAAUCAGGAUGCAAUCCCAUUCACAAUUGCCCCCCCAAAAAUAUAAAAUACUUAGGAAUACAGCUAACCAGGGAUGUGAAAGAUCUCUAUAAUAAGAAUUACAAAACACUGCUCAAAAAAUCAUAGAUGACACCAAAAAUUGGAAAAAUAAUCCAUGCUCAUGGAUUGGAUGAAUCAAUAUCAUUAAAAUGGCCAUACUGCCCAAAGCAAUUUACAGAUUUCACAGAUUCAGUGCUAUUCCUAUCAAAAUAUCAAUGACAUUUUUCGUGGAAUUAGAAAAAACUAUUUUAAAAUUGACAUGGAACCCAAAAGGGACCCCGAAUAGUCGAGGCAAUCCUAAACAAAAAGAACAAAGCUGGAGGUAUUAUAUUACCCAAUGUCAACAUAUACUACAGGGCUAUAGUAACCAAAAGAGCAUGGUACUGGUACAAAAACAGACACAUAGACCAAUAGAACGUAAUAAAGAGCCCAGAAAUAAUGUCACACCACUUACAACCAUCUGAUCUUCAAUAAAGCUGACAAAAACAAACAAUAGGGAAAAGAUUCCUCAUUCAAUAAAUGGUGCUGGGAUAACUGGCUAGUCAUAUGCAGAAGAUUGAAACUGGACACCCCACCUUACACUACAUACAAAAAUCAGUGUAAGAUGAAUUAAAGGCUUAAAUGUAAAACCUAAAACUAUAAAAACCCUGAAAGAUAACCUAGGAAAUACCAUUCUGGACAUAGAACUUGGCAAAGAUUUCAUGAUGAAGACAACAAAAGCAAUUGCAACAAAAACAAAAAUUGACAAAUGGGAUCUAAUUAAACUGAAGAGCUUCUGAACAAAAAAAGAAACUAUCAACAGAGUAAACAGACAACCUACAGAAUGGGAGAAGAUAUCUGCAAACUAUGCAUCCAACAAAGGUCUAAUAUCCAGAUGCUGUAAGGAACUUAAAUUUAUAAGCAUAAACAAACAACCCCAUUAAAAAGUGGGCAAAGGACAUGAAGAGAUACUUUUCAAAAGAAGACAUAUAUGUGGCCAACAAGCAUAUAAAAAAUGCUCAACAUCACUAAUCAUUAGAGAAAUGCAAAUUAAAACCACAGUGAAAUACCAUCCCACACCAGUCAGAAUGGCUAUUAUUAAAAGUUGAAAAAUAAUAGGUGCUAGCAAUGUUGUGGAGAAAAGGGAACACUUAUACACCACUGAUGGGAAUGUAAAUUAGUUCAGCCACUGUAGAAAGCAGUUGGGUGAUUCCUCAAAGAACUUAAAAAAACAGAGUUACCAUCCAACCUAGCAACCCCAUUAUUGGGUAUAAUCCAAAGGAAUAUAAAUUGUUCUAUCAUAAAGACACAUGCACAUGUAUAUUCAUUGCAGCACUAUUCGCAAUAAGAAAGAUAUGGCAUCACCCUAAAUGCCCAUCAGUGGUAGACUGGAUAAAGAAAAUGUGGUGCAUAUACACCAUGGAAUACUAUGCAGCCAUAAAAAACAAUGAGAUCAUGUCCUGUGAAGCAACAUGGAUGGAUCUGGAAGCCAUUAUCCUAAGCAAACUAACACAAGAACAGAAAACCAAAUAUGGCAUGUUCUUACAAGUGGAAGCUAAACAAUAGGAACACAUGGAUAUUAGAAGGGUAACAGAAGAUAUUGGGGCCUACUUGAGGGUGGAAAGUGGGAGGAAGGAGAGGAUCGGAAAAAUACCUAUUGGGUACUAUGUUUAUUACCUGGAUGAUAAAAUUAUCUGUCACCAAACCCCUGUGACAUGCAGUUUACCUAUAUAACAAACCUGCACAUGUACCCCUGAGCCUAAAAUAAAAGUUUAAAAAAAAAAAAGAAAAUACACCUGGACCCUAUUUUGAAAGACAUACUGUAGACUUGAGGGAGGAAGAGCAGAGGGAUGGAAAGGGCCCCGAAUUACCCACAAGCCAUGUGAAUGCUUAAGCAGUCAUGGACCACAAUUCUCACCACACACACACACACACACACACACACACACACACACACACACACACAGGUCUGAACCCUUACCCCUGUCUACUACUUAUUGGAGCUUGGUAGAAAAAAAGUUGUGAGUGACAGAAAAGUGAGAAAAAGAGAAGAAGAAGAAAAAUUGGAAAGUGUGGAAGAAAAAGUGGCAAAUGCAAGCAGCCCUUAAUGGAACUGUGCUGAAUUGAGAGACAGCAGAAGGUAACAGCUGGCUGGGACUUGGCCAUGAAAGGUGGAAUGUGAGGAGACAAAUGAAAUGGAAAUGCAGGAAAGAAUGGAGUGGCAAAGGAGGCUGGAGAUGGGGCAGAGGAUAGCAAGGGGAGAGAAGGAAGCACAGAAAGGGUGUGGGGGACAGGCCAGAGAGUAGAAGGCUAGAUGGAACUGACUGAUGCCACCAGUCAGAGAUGGAGACCAUUAACAAUGUGUAGGGAAACCCCUGCCUUCCCAAUAAUGAAAAUGCAGGUUUAAUCAGUACCAAGGAACACUGUGAAGUAAGGGCAUUGACUUGGGAAGUGAAAGCCGAAGAUAGAGCAAACCCCAUACGGCAUAUCCUAACUCGCCAUUUUAACAGCAGAAAGACUCGAAAAUACAAAGCAAAGGAUUAUCCAAAGGGCUUUUUAAAAUAAUGCUUAAAAUUUUAAUCUUGUAAAUAUAUUUCCCUUCCCAGUAUGAAAAUAAUUCCGAGUAUAAUCUUUAUUUACUUUCCCCUUUUUAUUUUAGAAGAGUAAACAUAGCUUUAAGAAUUAAAAAAAUCAGUUAAUAAUCUGACUUUUAAGUCAGCUGUAAAAAUGUAAGUUUCUAGCUCUGCCACUUUUUAGUAGUGUGACUUUGGGCAAAUUGCUCAAAAACUCCAAAUUCUUGUUUCUUUACCUACAAAAAAGGGACAAUAAUACAUACCUCCUAUGAUAGUAGAAAAUUACGUGAAAAUAUACUCCAAGUAUCUCAGAGGGCUUGAUUUCCAGAAAGCGCCCAAGCUCAAUCAAUAGUGACGUUUACUAUCCACGCAGCCAGUUCUACUACUGGGAGUUGGUUGGUGCUGAUAAAGCUUUUUGUCAGACUUCUCACAAUUUCCAUUGUGAGAAGAUGUAGCUUCCAAUUAACUCUGUCACUGAUUGUUGGGUAACUUUGGGCCAAAUGCUGUUCCUUAAUGAAUGUGGGUGUGAAACUUAUUAAGAUUAAUGACUGUCACAGCUGUUAGCCAGAUGUUUACAUAAUUCCCUCUGUUUUACAGCAAUCAUAUCAGAGGAAAGGGGUUGAAUGAUAGAAUUAGAAAAAUAAGUACAAUAUUGUGGGAAUGAAUAAAUGUUGUUUUGGAGGGUAGGAGAUUAAAAUCCUAAAUGUAUUUUGAUUAGGCUAAUAUUAAAAAUUAGCAUCUGUAAAUCAGUAAUCUAAUUGAAGGAAUUUUUUAACACAAGUGACUGGUGGAGGGGACACAGCAUGGGAGGGCAUGCUUACAGCAAGAGCUCCAUUGAUUAAAUAGUCCCCUGCAGAACACAGAGAGUUAAAUACGUCUUUAAUAGCCUCCAGCAUGAAAGGGCAAAUCAUUUGUUUUAAUUGAGGAAGGAUAAAAUAUUUUUGCUUUACACAUAUAUGUUCUAUUUUAGCAUCAUAGUUAUUUUUAUAGCUGUUAUAACUUCACAAAACCUAAUAGGAAAAUAAAUCUGAAUCCAGAAGAGUUCAAUACUUUCCAGAGGAGUCUAGUAAAUAAAAACUCUACACUGACUGACUGAUCUUAUUCAUGCACUGCUCCUAAACCCAAACUCUCAAGUGAAGGGAAAAGAGGUUAAUUCGUUGGAAUAAAUUCAUGGGAUUUUUUUUUAAAGACACAUCCUGAAUCAAAGUGAUUAAAACAACAAAUGGAUAAAGGGUAGAGCUGUGAGAGGACAAGGUUUGCAUUACUGAGCAUCUUGAUUAUGUGGGGAAGAUGGGAAACAGAUCUUGCCCAUUCUGGUCUCAAACUACUAAAUCCUGAGAAUGCCAAGAGGCGAGUCACUGAAGUCAGAAGUUGGAAACAUGGCUAAGCUGUCCAGAGUGUGGAACACAUGGUCUCUGAAGGUUUUUAUUAGUGUGUGGGUGAGAGUUCAGAAGCUCUACUAAUUACUUUUGUUUUCAGAAUUUAUAAAGUUAAGACAGAAAGCGGAAUAUUAACACUUCACUUCCUCGUGCAGUCAUUAAUUUACUCACUUAGCAUACAUUUAUUCAUAGAAGCUUAUUGGUACCAAGUAUACCCUCAAUGAGCAACCAACCCAAAAUUGCAAAAGGGAGAUCAAACAGGGAAGCUGUGGUAGGAAGUAUCAUGGCCUCUUCAAAGAUGUCUAUAUACUAAUCACAGAAUUUAUGUAUAUGUGAUGCUGUAUGUCAAGGGAAGAUUAAGGUGUGCAGAUGGAAUUAAGGUUGCUAAUCAGCUGACCUUAAAAUAGGAGUACUAUCUUGGAAUAUCUGGGUGGGCUCAAUGUAAUCACAAAUGUUCUUAACAGAUAGAAGAAGAAGGCAGAGGAGUCAGUGUUGGAGUGAUGCCAUGUGAGAAAGACUCAACUGGCCAUUGCUGGCUUUGAAAAUGGAAGGAGGCAUAAGCCAAGGAAUGAAUGCAGGUGCCUCUAGAACCUGGAAAAAGCAAGGAAACAAAUUCUCCUCUAGAACCUCCAGAAGGAAUGCAUUCCUGCCAACACCUUGAUUUUUAGCUCGGUGAGACCCAUGCUGGACUUCUGACCUGCAGGAUUGCAAGAUAAGAUAUUUGACUUAUUUUAAGAUGCUAAGUUUGCAGUAAUUUGAUAUGGUAGCCAUCGGAAACUAAUACCGAUGCCAAAGCAGUAAAGCAGGAAAGCACUCCAAAAUCACAGGAGUGAGAGGAGCAGAAAUGUCCUAGGAGAAGACAAUGUUUCCUUUUGAAAAGGAAAGUUUACUGGCAACUUCCAUUUGAAUUUCUUAAUUUCUUUCCUCAGUGGCAGUCACUACUUCCAAGGUGGCAGGUUCCAGAGCUGAUUCAUUAUAUAAUCUUUUCUCAGGAGUAUUCUAGCCACCUUUAAAGAAGCUAGGGCCAUUUUCCUGACACUGCAUCAAGGGGUAAGGUUAGUGGUAAAGAAACCAUGCGGUAGGAAAGGCCAACUUUCUCCCUACAUAAUCCAAUCGCAUUAUCUCCAGACUUGCUCACCCUCUGCUCUUUGCAUACUGCAGCUCCAGAGCUUUCAUACCUACAGACUUCCUGGAGUUAAGACUAAAACAAGAGUUGUGCUACAGACUACCGUUCCUAUUAUCAUUUUUUGUGUCCUGCUGAGUCCUCCCCUCUUGGCAACUUCAGGACCACCCACUGGGAAGAUAAUAUACAACCCAUCAGGAAACUCCCAGUGCCCAUCGUGGAGGCCAAGUGCUGCCAACUCUGAUUGCUUCUGGAAUGCCAUUUCUUCCCUGCCCUUUCAAUAUUCUUGUUAUGCGACUCCUAUGAUCACUGCCAAUCUGUAGAAAAUUACAGGAUGAAUUUUUGUGAAGGACUGAAUUUGCAUACUGGUCUUUUGUUGUUUAUUGUUGGGGGGAUUUUGCUUUUUGCACACAAUUUCUGCACAUUUUAUUGGAAGUUAUUGGGUUAGAUUCAUCCCAUUCAUUCACUAGCCUGGCAUUGCUAUGCAUGUGCUGUAGGGGCUUAGCAUUAAACGAUUUUCUUUGUUCAGAUUUGGAUUGCUGUCUCUGCUUGCAAAUUAUUUUUCACAAUGACUCCUUCUUUUCCUUCUCUCUCUCUCUCUUUCUCUCUCUCUCUCUCUCACACACACACACAGACACACACACACACACACACACACACACACACACACACACACAGAUGAGGUUAGAUAUUUUUCCAUUGCCAAGUUCAGGACCCAUGAAUAC
rnacentral:lncRNA from 1 species